UUGUGAGAAUAAUGUGUUAGUUUAUUGUGACUCGAGCUGUGAGGAAAUAGUCUGCUCCCAAGGUUGAGGGGAAGUGUCACAGGAGGUGAGUGGAGGGAAGGGUAGUUUGGGGACACGGUGGGGCUGAGACUGGCAGGAGCGGAGGCCCGGGCAGAACACUGCAGGGCGUCACGAGGCAUUGAGAAAGCCCUGCCUGGUGCCCGCUGCUUGGCACAGUACCUGGCACGGAGCAGGUGCUCCAAGCGUUGUGGAGCAAAUGGACCCUGCUCGGAAGCAGAGCCAGGCAGGAGCCGGCACCGGUACAGUGAUUGGAGGUGAGAGGGCGCCGAAGAAGCACUUGACCUACUUGUUCACUUUGUUCCAGUGCUUAGCGAGAAGGACGGAUCGAAGGCUGUCAAGAUGAUGCGGGCUGGAGUUGCUUUGUGUCGCUUUUCCUGGAAGCAUGGAGAAA
rnacentral:lncRNA from 1 species